AACGAACGCUGGCGGCAGGCCUAACACAUGCAAGUCGAACGAUAAGCCACCUUCGGGUGGUGGACAGUGGCAGACGGGUGAGUAACGCGUGGGAACGUGCCUUUCGGUUCGGGAUAACCCAGGGAAACUUGGGCUAAUACCGGAUACGCCCUUCGGGGGAAAGAUUCAUUGCCGAAAGAUCGGCCCGCGUCGGAUUAGCUAGUUGGUAGGGUAAUGGCCUACCAAGGCGACGAUCCGUAGCUGGUCUGAGAGGAUGACCAGCCACACUGGGACUGAGACACGGCCCAGACUCCUACGGGAGGCUG
rnacentral:rRNA from 1 species